rnacentral:tRNA from 1 species
GUAGCUUUGGUCUAGUGGUUCAAGACGUCUUGCUGAUACAAACUACCCUGGGUUACGGGUAGUCACCGGACCCGGGGGUUGCUGUUAGUUCUGGUACGAGGAGACGUGGGUUCGAUUCUCACUCGCUACA